rnacentral:rRNA from 1 species
ACAAUGAAGAGUUUGAUCCUGGCUCAGGAUUAACGCUAGCGGGAGGCUUAACACAUGCAAGUCGAACGGUAAGGCCCUUUCGGGGGUACACGAGUGGCGCACGGGUGAGUAACGCGUAUGCAACCUACCUUUAACUGGGGAAUAGCCCGGGGAAACUCGGAUUAAUACCCCAUAACAUUCAGAAAUCGCCUGGUUUUUGAAUUAAAGCUCCGGCGGUUAAAGAUGGGCAUGCGUGACAUUAGCUUGUUGGUGAGGUAACGGCUCACCAAGGCUUCGAUGUCUAGGGGGUCUGAGAGGAUGAUCCCCCACACUGGUACUGAGACACGGACCAGACUCCUACGGGAGGCAGCAGUGAGGAAUA